UGGGGAAUUUUGGACGAAUUGGGCGAAAGCCUGAUCCAGCAAUGCCGCGUGUGUGAAGAAGGCCUUCGGGUUGUAAAGCACUUUUGUCCGGAAAGAAAUCCUUGGCUCUAAUACAGUCGGGGGAGUGACGGUACCGGAAGAAUAAGCACCGGCUAACUACGUGCCAGCAGCCGCGGUAAUACGUAGGGUGCAAGCGUUAAUCGGAAUUACUGGGCGUAAAGCGUGCGCAGGCGGUUUGCUAAGACCGAUGUGAAAUCCCCGGGCGUCAACCUGGGAACUGGCAUUGGUGACUGGCAGGCUAGAGUAUGGCAGAGGGGGGUGAGAAUUCCACGUGUAGCAGUGAAAUGCGUAGAGAUGUGGAGGAAUACCGAUGGCGAAGGCAG
rnacentral:rRNA from 1 species